AUUGAACGCUGGCGGCAUGCCUUACACAUGCAAGUCGAACGGUAGAGUAGCAAUACUCGAGAGUGGCGAACGGGUGAGUAAUAUAUCGGAACGUGCCCAGUCGUGGGGGAUAACGUAGCGAAAGCUACGCUAAUACCGCAUACGAUCUAUGGAUGAAAGCGGGGGAUCGCAAGACCUCGCGCGAUUGGAGCGGCCGAUAUCAGAUUAGGUAGUUGGUGAGGUAAAGGCUCACCAAGCCGACGAUCUGUAGCUGGUCUGAGAGGACGACCAGCCACACUGGGACUGAGACACGGCCCAGACUCCUACGGGAGGCAGCAGUGGGGGAAUUUUGGACAAUGGGCGCAAGCCUGAUCCAGCAAUGCCGCGUGCAGGAUGAAGGCC
rnacentral:rRNA from 1 species